UACAGAGGGUGCAAGCGUUAAUCGGAAUUACUGGGCAUAAAGCGUGCGUAGUCGGUUGUUUAAGUCGGAUGUGAAAUCCCCGGGCUCAACCUGGGAAUUGCAUUCGAUACUGGGCAGCUAGAGUUCGGCAGAGGGAAGCGGAAUUUCCGGUGUAGCGGUGAAAUGCGUAGAUAUCGGAAGGAACAUCAGUGGCGAAAGCGGCUUCCUGGACCAGCACUGACGCUGAGGCACGAAAGCGUGGGGAGCAAACAGG
rnacentral:rRNA from 1 species